rnacentral:rRNA from 1 species
UACGGAGGGUGCGAGCGUUGUCCGGAAUCAUUGGGCGUAAAGGGCGCGUAGGUGGCCCGGUCAGUCUUUGGUGAAAGCGCGGGGCUCAACCCUGCGUCGGCCAGGGAUACUGCCGCGGCUCGAGUGCGGAAGAGGCGAGUGGAAUUCCUGGUGUAGCGGUGAAAUGCGCAGAUAUCAGGAGGAACACCUAUUGCGAAGGCAGCUCGCUGGGACGUAACUGACGCUGAGACGCGAAAGCGUGGGGAGCAAACAGG